rnacentral:rRNA from 1 species
AGCGAACGCUGGCGGCAGGCCUAACACAUGCAAGUCGAACGGCAGCACAGUAAGAGCUUGCUCUUACGGGUGGCGAGUGGCGGACGGGUGAGGAAUACAUCGGAAUCUACUUUUUCGUGGGGGAUAACGUAGGGAAACUUACGCUAAUACCGCAUACGACCUACGGGUGAAAGCAGGGGAUCUUCGGACCUUGCGCGAUUGAAUGAGCCGAUGUCGGAUUAGCUAGUUGGCGGGGUAAAGGCCCACCAAGGCGACGAUCCGUAGCUGGUCUGAGAGGAUGAUCAGCUACACUGGAACUGAGACACGGGCCAGACUCCUACGGGAGGCAGCAGUGGGGAAUAUUGGACAAUGGGCGCAAGCCUGAUCCAGCCAUACCGCGUGGGUGAAGAAGGCCUUCGGGUUGUAAAGCCCUUUUGUUGGGAAAGAAAUCCAGCUGGUUAAUACCCGGUUGGGAUGACGGUACCCAAAGAAUAAGCACCGGCUAACUUCGUGCCAGCCGCCGCGGUAAAAC